GAAAUGCGAUACGUAAUGUGAAUUGCAGAAUUCCGUGAAUCAUCAAAUCUUUGAACGCAUAUUGCACUCUAUUUCGGUAGAGUAUGCCUGUUUGAGAAUCUAUAGUAUUUCUUUGCCCUUUUUUGACCUGUUAUGGGACAAUUUAGGGCAAGAUUUGAACCGUCUCUCCCCAGAGUGGUUUUAAAUAGAUUGCUUGUUUCCACAGUUGAGUGUUUGACUCUUUACUAUGCAGACAGAACCGUAUUUGAAUGGGGCUUCGGCUUCUCCUUAUGCCUAUUAAGUCGCUGUUUAGAUUAGCCCAACCAAAAAAGCAAGUUCAUAACCUAAAGGCUCUUUUUUAGAGCCUGAACCAUGGUCUCAAAUCAGGUAGGAUUACCCGCUGAACUUAA
rnacentral:misc_RNA from 1 species